rnacentral:rRNA from 1 species
CCUACGGGGGCUGCAGUGGGGAAUAUUGGACAAUGGGCGAAAGCCUGAUCCAGCCAUGCCGCGUGUGUGAAGAAGGCCUUCGGGUUGUAAAGCACUUUCAGUGGGGAAGAAAGCCUUGGGGCUAAUACCCUCGAGGAAGGACAUCACCCACAGAAGAAGCACCGGCUAACUCCGUGCCAGCAGCCGCGGUAAUACGGAGGGUGCGAGCGUUAAUCGGAAUUACUGGGCGUAAAGCGCGCGUAGGCGGUCUGAUAAGCCGGUUGUGAAAGCCCCGGGCUCAACCUGGGAACGGCAUCCGGAACUGUCAGGCUAGAGUGCAGGAGAGGAAGGUAGAAUUCCCGGUGUAGCGGUGAAAUGCGUAGAGAUCGGGAGGAAUACCAGUGGCGAAGGCGGUCUUCUGGACUGACACUGACGCUGAGGUGCGAAAGCGUGGGUAGCAAACAGGAUUAGAUACCCCAGUAGUC